rnacentral:sRNA from 1 species
AACUGUGCGAACCAGACCCGGCAGUCUUGCUCAGUUCAGCAUAGCGGAGCGGAUCCGAGCGGAUCGGAGCGGAUAGGAGCACACCGGAGCAGGCUCAUCGAGAGGGCGUCUGCGAGACCAUGGAGAACGGAUACACAUAUGAAGAUUAUAAGAACACUGCAGAAUGGCUUCUGUCUCACACUAAGCACCGACCUCAAGUUGCAAUAAUCUGUGGUUCUGGAUUAGGAGGUCUGACUGAUAAAUUAACUCAGGCCCAGAUCUUUGACUACAGUGAAAUCCCCAACUUUCCCCGAAGUACAGUGCCAGGUCAUGCUGGCCGACUGGUGUUUGGAUUCCUGAAUGGCAGGGCCUGUGUGAUGAUGCAGGGCAGGUUCCACAUGUAUGAAGGGUACCCACUCUGGAAGGUAAGUCAGGGGGAUAGGCCCGGUUGGAUCUGGAAGAGGCAGGAGAGAACUAUCUAGCCUCUUUCGCUACCUAGCUAUCUGGGCUAGGGGGAUUUUUGGUCCUCUCCUUCCUUUUCUUUCACGAUGUAUGUCAUGCAUUUCAGUGUAGCUGAAUUAAUGAAAUUUUGUAAAUUUUUUUCUGAUCUUUUGCUUCGAAGGUGACAUUCCCAGUGAGGGUUUUCCACCUCCUGGGUGUGGACACCCUGGUAGUCACCAAUGCAGCAGGAGGGCUGAACCCCAAGUUUGAGGUUGGAGAUAUCAUGCUGAUCCGUGACCAUAUCAACCUACCUGGUUUCAGUGGUCAGAACCCUCUCAGAGGGCCCAAUGAUGAAAGGUAUGUAUGUUACUCCGUUUUUUUUAGGUGGGUAGGAUUUAAAGACUUCUCUAGGAGCUGUGGGAGAAUUUUUUAAAUUCCGUUUAUGUGAGAUAAUUCAACCUGUGUCCUAGGUUUGGAGAUCGUUUCCCUGCCAUGUCUGAUGCCUACGACCGGACUAUGAGGCAGAGGGCUCUCAGUACCUGGAAACAAAUGGGGGAGCAACGUGAGCUACA